rnacentral:rRNA from 1 species
AGUGAACGCUGGCGGUAGGCCUAACACAUGCAAGUCGAACGGCAGCACAGUACGGGUUUGCUCUUACGGGAGGCGUGUGGGGGGGGGGUGAAGUGUCUAUCGGACUCUACUUUUUCGUGGGGGAACUAGUAGGGAAACUAACGCAUAUCCCGUAACCGCCCUACGGGUAAAAGCAGGGGCUUUUCGGCCCUUGCGAGAUUGUAUGCGCCGAUGUCGGUGUCGCUUGUUGGUGGGGACAAGGCCCACCAAGGAGAUGAUCACUAGCUGGUGUGAGAGGAUGAGCAGCCACACUGGAACUGAGACACGGUCCAGACUCCUACGGGAGGCAGCAGUGGGGAAUAUUGCACAAUGGGCGCAAGCCUGAUGCAGCCAUGCCGCGUGUAUGAAGAAGGCCUUCGGGUUGUAAAGUACUUUAAGCGGUGAGGAAGGGAGUAAAGUUAAUACCUUUGCUCAUUGACGUUACCCGCAGAAGAAGCACCGGCUAACUCCGUG